UACGUAGGGCGCGAGCGUUGUCCGGAAUUAUUGGGCGUAAAGAGCUCGUAGGCGGCGCGGUAAGUCGGGUGUGAAAUCUCGGAGCUUAACUCCGAAACUGCAUUCGAUACUGCCGUGCUUGAGGACUGGAGAGGAGACUGGAAUUUACGGUGUAGCGGUGAAAUGCGUAGAUAUCGUAAGGAAGACCAGUGGCGAAGGCGGGUCUCUGGACAGUUCCUGACGCUGAGGCACGAAGGUCAGGGGAGCAAACGGG
rnacentral:rRNA from 1 species